AACGAACGCUGGCGGCGUGUUUAAGACAUGCAAGUCGAACGGAUCAAAGUGAGUAGCAAUACAAGCUUUGGUCAGUGGCGCACGGGUGCGUAACACGUGAGUUACAUGCCCUGCAGUGGGGAAUAGCCCGCCGAAAGGCGGAUUAAUACUCCAUGGUCCCGCAAGGGUAAAGGUGGCGCAAGCUGCCGCUGCAGGAUUGGCUCGCGGCCUAUCAGCUAGUUGGUGAGGUAACGGCUCACCAAGGCUACGACGGGUACCUGGUCUGAGAGGAUGAUCAGGCACACUGGAACUGAGACACGGUCCAGACACCUACGGGUGGCAGCAGUCGAGAAUAAUUCACAAUGGGGGAAACCCUGAUGGUGCAACGCCGCGUGGAGGAUGAAGGUCUUCGGAUUGUAAACUCCUGUCAUCUGGGAGUAAGACCUGGCGGUAAAUAGCCGACAGGGUUGAUAGUACCAGAAGAGGAAGGGACGGCUAACUUCGUGCCAGCAGCCGCAGUAAUAC
rnacentral:rRNA from 1 species